AAGUAGGCAUUCAACGAUAUGAAACCUAAUUCAACCUUGAAGAAUAAACCAAAAAUGGACUGCCGUUUUUAUGCAUGUGAAGAGGGUUUUGUCAAGCUCCUAACUCACCUGCAUUAUAAUAGCCAACAACUUGCAAUGACCCAAUAAUUGUGACUCCGAAAUGUCCUUUACUGUUCAAGGGAAGGACGAAGAGUACAACAAUCUUUAAUGGAUUUACUAGCCAAAGCAAAGCGAUCCAAAGUUGAAAAAAGAAAUGCAGUAAAGUCACGAAGGGGGCCUCUAUGAUGUGUCUUCUAGUGGCACAUGCUGAGAGAAAUGAGAGAUUCCCUUCAGAAUGGGACUCUUUCCCCGUUGAAUUCUUCUCAAAGUAACAAUCAUUUCCCGUUUUACUUUGAAUUUUUUUUAUACUAUUUCUCCCCAUCCUUUUGCAGGCUGCAAUAGUUUACAUUGCUUUAAAUCGGGAAUUGAAGUGUGAGAUCAAUAAAAACACUAUCUUUCUAUUAUUCUAAUCAUUGGAUCAGCAGCAGGACUGCUUGAAAGAAGAAUAUGCUUUGGGGAUAUCGGCCAAAACAAUGGCAGUGUGUCACCUUCACCUAUCCCACUUAAUACCCAAACUCUAACUUCAUAUUUGAAGAUCAACCAUUGAAGCAUAGUUUUUCAAAUUGAAAGUUGAGCCGUAGAAAAGAAAACAAGGUCUUAUUUGUUUUUUAUUACAAAAAAAAAAAAAAAAAAAGCACCAAAAGAUUACGAAAAGCUUGUUGGUGCAAAGCUUUCAAAGGUCAUGUCAUGUGUGGAUUUCGGAGUAAUAUAUAUUUGGAGGACCACUGCUGCUAGGAAGGUGUGAUGAAACCUAACCUCACUGAAAUGAAACUCACCAUUAUGAAACCCAACGUCCUAUCGCCCUAUCUGUUUCACAGACUAUAAAUCUUGCGCAUGGCCACAGUUGGACAGCUUAUAUGUAUAGGCUUUGCCUUUUAGUUUUCUCUUAGCCUUUCGGCUUCACCCUAACAUCUAAUGAAUCUAAGCACGGAAGGAAGAUGUAGUUUUUGGUUCAAGCUUUAAUGGGGAAUUAGUGUUUACUUUUUCAUUUUUAAAAGCUUGAUGGUGCAACUCUGUGUUUUCUGCUUUUUGUUAUUUUAAUGCUGCCAAAUACAA